GGCGAAGCGAAACCUACGAGGGCGGAGAACGCCGUCGUCCUCCGCGGCGCCGAUGGAUUUGGCAGAGUUGAGGACGGAGUCGAGGAUGGCGCGGGUGGAGGCGAGGAUCAGAGGCCUCCGUCGUCACUCGACCAUGGCUAGAGAGCGAAAAAAUUUUGGGGUUCCGAUUGGAAAUUAGGGUUUUAGCGCGAUGAGGAGGAAGAGAGAGGAUGAUGAGAGAGAGAGAGAGAGAGAGAGAGAGAGAGAGAGAGAGGGGGGGGCGGAGAGGAGGAGGCGAAAGAGAGAAAUUGCGAGGGAGAUGGCCUCUUUCAAAGGGAGAUGAAAGAGGAUGAUUUUCUGA
rnacentral:lncRNA from 1 species